rnacentral:rRNA from 1 species
AUUGAACGCUGGCGGCAGGCCUAACACAUGCGAGUCGAACGGUAACAGGAAGAAGCUUGCUUCUUUGCUGACGAGUGGCGGACGGGUGAGUAAUGUCUGGGAAACUGCCUGAUGGAGGGGGAUAACUACUGGAAACGGUAGCUAAUACCGCAUAACGUCGCAAGACCAAAGAGGGGGACCUUCGGGCCUCUUGCCAUCGGAUGUGCCCAGAUGGGAUUAGCUAGUAGGUGGGGUAACGGCUCACCUAGGCGACGAUCCCUAGCUGGUCUGAGAGGAUGACCAGCCACACUGGAACUGAGACACGGUCCAGACUCCUACGGGAGGCAGCAGUGGGGAAUAUUGCACAAUGGGCGCAAGCCUGAUGCAGCCAUGCCGCGUGUAUGAAGAAGGCCUUCGGGUUGUAAAGUACUUUCAGCGGGGAGGAAGGGAGUAAAGUUAAUACCUUUGCUCAUUGACGUUACCCGCAGAAGAAGCACCGGCUAACUCCGU